rnacentral:misc_RNA from 1 species
UCUCCGUUGGUGAACCAGCGGAGGGAUCAUUACCGAGUUUUGCUACUCCCAAACCCCUGUGAACUUAUACCUUUACUGCUGCUUCGGCGGGCUAACGCCCCGGAAGGCCCCAAAAGCCGCCGGAACCAGGCGCCCGCCGGGCGAUCCAAACUCUCGUAUUUUUUAAUUUGCAUGUCUGAUUGGAAUCAUAAACAAAUGAAUCAAAACUUUCAACAACGGAUCUCUUGGUUCUG